AUAUCAAUAAGCGGAGGAAAAGAAACUAACAAGGAUUCCCCUAGUAACUGCGAGUGAAGCGGGAAGAGCUCAAAUUUAAAAUCUGGCGUGCCUCUGGUCGUCCGAGUUGUAGUCUGGAGAAGCGUUUUCCGUGUUGGACCGUGUAUAAGUCUCUUGGAACAGGGCGUCAUAGAGGGUGAGAAUCCCGUCUUUGACACGGACUACCAAUGCUUUGUGAUGCGCUCUCAAAGAGUCGAGUUGUUUGGGAAUGCAGCUCAAAAUGGGUGGUAAAUUCCAUCUAAAGCUAAAUAUAGGCGAGAGACCGAUAGCGAACAAGUACCGUGAGGGAAAGAUGAAAAGCACUUUGGAAAGAGAGUUAAACAGUACGUGAAAUUGCUGAAAGGGAAACGCUUGAAGUCAGUCACGUCUGCCAGGACUCAGCCUUGCUUCUGCUUGGUGUACUUUCUGGUUUGAUGGGCCAACAUCAAUUUUGACCGUUGGAGAAAGGCGUUGGGAAUGUGGCACCUUUUGGUGUGUUAUAGCCCUUUGUUGUAUACAACGGUUGGGAUUGAGGACUGCAGCACGCCUUUAUGGCCGGGGUUCGCCCACGUACGUGCUUAGGGUGUUGGCAUAAUGGCUUUAAGCGA
rnacentral:rRNA from 1 species